GCGAACAGAACCGGAUUCGUCGCUUUGAGCAGAGAGAAAGGAAAAAAGUCAAGGCGAGAUGGGUGAGGAGACCAGGUUUACAACUGGCCAGGCUGGGCUACCAGUUGCAACACAUCAUUCUGUAACUCGGAGGGAAGCUGGAAACAUGAUUGCCCGGGACGGAGGUAACAUCAGCGCGUCGCAGAUCAUCGGUAACAAUACAAACAGGGAUUUAAACUACACUGAAAACAAGAUAACCAACAUAUAUGUUUCAGGUCCACUUCCUGCCAGCACAGAUCAGACUGGUGCUGUUUCUUCCCAAACCAAAG